AUUGAACGCUGGCGGCAGGCCUAACACAUGCAAGUCGAGCGGAUGAGGGAAGCUUGCUUCCCGAUUUAGCGGCGGACGGGUGAGUAAUGCCUAGGAAUCUGCCUAUUAGUGGGGGAUAACGUUCCGAAAGGAACGCUAAUACCGCAUACGUCCUACGGGAGAAAGGGGGGGAUCUUCGGACCUCACGCUAAUAGAUGAGCCUAGGUCGGCAUUAGCCAGUUGGUGGGGUAACGGCUCACCAAGGCGACGAUCCGUAGCUGGUCUGAGAGGAUGAUCAGACAAACUGGAACUGCGACACGGUCCAGACUCCUACGGGAGGCAGCAGUGGGGAAUAUUGGACAAUGGGCGAAAGCCUGAUCCAGCCAUGCCGGGUGUGUGAAGAAGGUCUGCGGAUUGUAAAGCACUUUAAGUUGGGAGGAAGGGUUGUAAGCUAAUAUCUUGCAGCUUUGACGUUACCAACAGAAUAAGCACCGGCUAACUCUGUGCCAGCCGCCGCCGUAACAC
rnacentral:rRNA from 1 species